CUCCCGUAACACGUUCACCCGCCACAGAAGAGGAGGUGGGUAAGAUGUAGUGUCGGCGGUGUGUUGGGAUAGUCCUAGUGGAGGGUGAGGAGAGAGAGUAAGAGGAUCUAGGCGGUGGCGGGGGAGGGGGUGGUUGGGGGACGGCCACACACUGGAGAGGGCAGUAGAGCGACCGGCCGCUCGGACGGCGGAGGGAAGUGGCGGUGGUCGAGGGGUCGUACCGAAUGGAGGGAGAAGGGGCGAAGGAUGUGACGUAGAGGUAGCCCGGGAGGAGCUGGGGGAGAAGAAGAGGGGCCGGAGCAGGUGGCGUAGCCCGUGGGUACCUAGACGGCGGUGAAGAGUUCCCCACGGGAGACUACUGGCUAAGUACCACGACGGUCGGUCUAGGCGCGCCACUGGGUCCCCAUGACUACGGCACGUGGGUCGGCGGCGGUGCGGGCUGGUGGUCCCGUUGAUCUGCCACGAGGGCAGACGCUCUUUUAGUGGGCGCGCCCGUUCCGCGACUCGCGGCACGACCACUGCCACGAUGAUGCGGACCGGCGGUAGUGCCUGCACUAACAGCGGAGAUUGCGAGGGCGGAUGGCUCACCGCGACCUCGUGGGUACGGAGAAGGUACGGCUGGAGGCAAGGUACGAAGCGGGGCAGCCGCGGGACGAGCAGCGGAAGGAGGAGCCUAGGAAAUGCGUGAUGUAGUUGAGGCUGGACACAGUGACGGCAGUUGGAGGAGAGGUCGCCGUUCUAUUAAACCAGUACCACUGGGUAUACUACCGCUAAACGAGACCGGUAGAAUCAAGACCGCCACCACCACCGCGACGAGGAUACUACCAUCCGAGCAGACGGAGGGGACCGGCGGCGGCACCACUACUUCGAGCCGGAUCCGAUGUUGGGGGAGGCUACUAACUACUCGACUAGAAGAAGGUGGUCAACAUCGCCCUCACUACGACCUCGUCAUGUUGCUAGUAAUCUAUGUACACGGUAAACCCGUCCCUCUUCGACCCUGCCGGGAUUCAUUGUGGUGGUACACCGUUUAGGUCGUCUACCUGUGUUGUAACCACGGACCCACUACCCUAUUACAUACACAUGGUCACUGUACUAUAAACACGAAGAGCAGGUUAGAUAUAACAACACGUGAACACAUGAACAACCCGGAAAAACGGCACGUGAACGUUAAAAUCUUGAUAAAAAAACAACAACACGUGAAGAACCAGGAACUUGGAACGACACAUAUCCUCAGUUACCUACUACAUAACAUAAAGGAUACUACACAAUGACUUUACUUUAUAUGACAAAAAAA
rnacentral:rRNA from 1 species